rnacentral:tRNA from 1 species
GCUCAGUUGGUUAAAUGUCUGACCCUUGACCUCGGCUCAGGUCAUGAUCUCACGGUUCGUGGGUUCAAGCCCCACAUUGAGCU